rnacentral:rRNA from 1 species
GAUGAACGCUGGCGGCGUGCCUAAUACAUGCAAGUCGAGCGAACAGACGAGGAGCUUGCUCCUCUGACGUUAUCGGCGGACGGGUGAGUAACACGUGGAUAACCUACCUAUAAGACUGGGAUAACUUCGGGAAACCGGCUCUAAUACCGUAUAAUCAAUUGAACCGCAUUGUUCAAUAGUGAAAGACGGUUUUGCUGUCACUUAUUGAUGGAUCCGCGCCGCAUUAGCUAGUUGGUAAGGUAACGGCUUACCAAGGCAACGAUGAGUAGCCGACCUGAGAGGGGGAUGGGCAAAACUGGAACUGAGACACGGUCAAGACUCCUAGGGGAGGCAGAAGUAGGGAAUCUUCCGAAAUGGGCGAAAGCCUGACGGAGCAACGCGGCGGGAGUAAUGAAGGUCUUCGGAUCGUAAAACUCUGUGAUUAGGGAAGAACAAAUGUGUAAGUAACUAUGCACGUCUUGACGGUACCUAAUCAGAAAGCCACGGCUAACUACGUG